rnacentral:rRNA from 1 species
GACGAACGCUGGCGGCGUGCUUAACACAUGCAAGUCGAACGGAAAGGCCCUGCUUUUGUGGGGUGCUCGAGUGGCGAACGGGUGAGUAUCACGUGUGUAACCUGCCCUUGACUUUGGGAUAACUUCAGGAAACUGGGGCUAAUACCGGAUAGGAGAUCCUGCUGCAUGGUGGGGGUUGGAAAGUUUCGGCCGUUGGGGAUGGACUCGCGGCUUAUCAGCUUGUUGGUGGGGUAGUGGCUUACCAAGGCUUUGACGGGUAGCCGGCCUGGGAGGGUGACCGGCCACAUUGGGACUGAGGUACGGAGCAGACUCCAACGGGAGGCAGCAGGGGGGAAUAUUGCACAAUGAGCGGAAGCCUGAUGCAGCAACGUCGCGUGCGGGAUGACGGCCUUCGGGGUGUAAACCGCUGUCGCCUGUGACGAAGCGGGAGUGACGGUAAUGGGUAAAGAAGCACCGGCUAACUACGUG